rnacentral:rRNA from 1 species
GACAGAGGGGGCAAGCGUUGCUCGGAAUUACUGGGCGUAAAGGGCGCGUAGGCGGGAUGGCAAGUCGGUCGUGAAAUCCUUCGGCUCAACCGAAGAACGUCGAUCGAUACUGCUGUUCUAGAGGAUUGCAGAGGAGACUGGAAUUCCCGGUGUAGCGGUGAAAUGUGUAGAGAUCGGGAGGAACACCGGUGGCGAAGGCGGGUCUCUGGGCAAUUCCUGACGCUGAGGCGCGAAAGCGUGGGGAGCGAACAGG